AUCUUAAAUAGAAAGAGGGUUUGCAUAUGGACUUCACUGGUGUUAUUACAAGCAUUAUUGAUUUAAUCAAGACUUGCAUUCAGACUUUCGGUUAAGUUUUUUGUUUCAACGCAAUAAAAAAACAGAGGAAAUAUUCAACAAUUUGAUUGUUUC
rnacentral:ncRNA from 1 species